CCUGGUUUUCUCUUCCUGAUAUAUGGCUGGGCAUUUUUCAGAUAUAUUGCCAAAAACACCAGUACCUCCAGGGGGACUCAUCGUGAUCUCAGUUUACCCAGGAAGAAACAGACACCAGAGGAGAAAAGUGUCAGCUGUGAGACAGCUGCUCAGCAAGGCACUGGCUUGGCCCCAGAACAUGUCACCUUGCUGUGGCCAGGGAAGGGUAUCUGUAUGAUCCUUUAAAAGCAACGGCACGCUUGCUGAGUUUCGUGUCCUGUCUUACAAGCCGUAGCCUACCCACCUGGGGAUCCAUGCCAUACUGGACGCUAUUGUGGAUGCUGGCAAGUGCUUGCUGCUGGAAGCCUGAUACGGCUGUCUCCUGAGAGGCUCUGCCAAGGCCUGACAAAUACAGAGGCAGAUGCUGGUAGCCAACCACUGGACUGAGCACAGGGGUCCCAGAUGGAGGAGUUGGAGAAGGGACUGAAGGAGCUGAGGGGGUUUGCAGCCCCAUGGGGGGAGCAACAAUGUCAACUGGUCGGACCCCUUCCCACCCCUCUCACCUCCCCACCCCCCACCCCCGAGCUCCAGGGGACUGGACCACCAACCAAAGAGUGCACAUGAAGGGACCCAUGACUCUGGCUGCAUAUGUGGCACAGGAUGGCCUGGUUGGACCUCAGUGGGAGGAGAGGCCCUUGGGCCUGAGGGUGGUCGAUGCCCCAGUAUGG